CUUUAGUAAAGGUUCAUCAUAGCUCUCUGUUGCACUCUAGUAAUAUACAGUAACAUUUAAGGUUACAAGAAAUGAAAUAUCAACACCCAUUGCCAAUAUUGUUAUCUACUGUUUGAGUUGGGGUUUAUUUUAUUCAACUUUUAAUUUUUAAAAUUUAUUUAUUUUGUUUUAGUUUUUUCAAGGUGAUUUUCCUUUUUGUUAUUUGUUUUUAUUUGGUGGUGGUAAGUUGUUGAAGUAUAACAAGUGUUAGUCCAAUCUUUAGUAAGAAUUGGCUAGAGUUGUGAGUGUCUUUAAGAUCAUGUUUGGAAAGAAUUAUAGGAUUGAAAUGUAUAAUGUUUAUUAAGUGUUUAGGUUAUGUAAUUAGAGAGCAUAUAAUGUGUUCAGGUCUUGUAAUUAGAGAGCAUAUUAGAAUUCACCUAAUGAGAUAAAUUAGUCUAAUUGAUAAAUGUGGGAUAAUUUUAUUCUAACCAAAUUCAUGUAUAAGCUUUAUGAACGAAGAAGAAAUAAAUGUAUGAUUGGAGAUGGGUUAAACAAUUUUGUUUUGUUUCUAUGUUAUUUUAAUAAUAUACAUGUAUAUAUAUGUUCUGUUGGGUUCAUAUUAUCAUAACUAGGUUUCAACUAGAAGCUUUAAACCCUUGAAGCCACAGUUGCUACACCACUUUAAUUCCUAACCCAAAAUCCAUAUCUAUAAAUUCACCAGCAAAUAGACUUAUUUCUAACCUGGUAGUUCAAAAUUUUCAGGUUCAAUUCCCUCAUAGUUUGACAACUUCUUCGGUCAUCUUGUUUUUGACAUGAAAGAUAGAGAAGCCAAUAAGAACCAAGCAAAAUUCUGGUAGUAAGUACCUUGAGUCUUCUGUGUCACUGCCUGACUGGAAAGUUCAUAAUGGUAUUGGCGAUACAUCUUGCCCACCCAGGGAGUUUGGCGGUUGUGGGGAGAACCUCCUUGAAUUGAGAUUUCUGUUGCCUUUAAAUUGGACCAAAGAGCUGGAAGUAAGUGCAGAACAGAUCGUCUGUAGCUAUGAUGUUCCAGAAACUUCAAACAUAUCUUUGUGCUGCUCUCUGUGUAAUGGAAUGAAUCAGAAAGCUGGAGGAAGAAAGCAGUUGCAAGAAGCAGCUGUAAGAGAAGACUGCAUCCAAUUCACGAUCAGAGUUUCUUUCUUGACACCACUCACAAAAUGAGGCUUAAGGAGGAGUUUGAGAUUGAACCUUGGACUUUCAUGCAACAUGUAGGAGAAGCUGUUAUCAUUCCUGCUGGAUGUCCCUACGAGAUUAAGAGCCCUAAGGCUUGUGUUCAUGUUGUGUUGGACUUCAUGUCUCUGAAGAAUGUUACCGAGUGUGCCUAAUUGUCCGAUGAAAUACGACUACUUCCAGAAGACCAUAAAGCCAAAGCAGACAAGUUACAGGUGAAGAAAAUGGCUCUUCACAGUAUUAGUGCUGCUAUCCAAGAAAUUCGUGAGCUUACAUGUGCAACCUACAUGAUUUUGAUACGUGCAUUGCAAAAAAUGAAGAAGCUAUUCAAAUUGAUCCUCACUUUGCUGAGUGUUAUGGAAACAUAGAAAAUGCUUGGAAGGAGAAGGGCAACAUUGAUGUUGCAAUCCGCUACUAUUUAAUUGCUAUCGAGCUCCGACCAAAUUUUGUUGAUGCAUGGUCAAAUUUAGCAAGUGCAUAUAUGCGUAAAGGGCAGUUUAACGAGGCAGCUCAAUGUUGUCACCAGGCUCUUGCACUGAAUCCACGUUUGGUUGAUGCACACAUUAAUCUCGGGAAUUUGAUGAAAGCUCAAGGAUUAGUUCAAGAGGGAAUUCCUGAACAGGCAGAUGUUCCACCAGUUGCCCAAGUUCCUAUUCAGGUAGCAGCAAACUCCCCAGCAAUCAUUCCUUCAGUGCAAGCAUCACAACCUGCUGCUGCACCUGCUGUUGUCCCUAAUGCAAAUCCACUGGAUCUCUUCUCACAUGGCCUACCAAAUGUGGGUGCAAAUGCUGGUGCUGACAAUUUGGAUUUUCUUCGAAACAGUCAACAGUUCCAAGCAUUGCGAGCUAUGGUGCAAGCAAACCCUCAAAUUCAACAGCCUAUGCUUCAAGAGCUAGGGAAACAAACUCCACAUCUUGUGCAUCUCAUACAAGAGCCUCAGGCUGACUUUUUGCGCCUGUUAAAUGAACCUGUCGAGGGAGGAGAAGGGAACGUUCUGAGCCUGAUGGCUUCAGCCAUGCCACAGGCUAUGACUGUAACUCUUGAGGAGCGGGCAACCAUUGAACGUUCAGUUCUAUGUAUCAACAACCAUUCAGAUCAAUCACAUUUUAGGACCAAAAUAAAUAAAUAAAUAGUCAAUUGAACAGAGGGAAAAACUCUAGUGAUGGUUAAAAAUAUAGAAGUGGCUGUUAGACAAAAUAAUGCGAAGGACUUGGCACUUGAUCAUGCUAUACAUAUGUUGCUCGCUGGUAUGUUUGCCAAGUGUUUGUGUAUUAGUUCUGGUUCAGUUUUCUCACCACAAUCACUUGAGUAGACAAUGAGGGACUGCUUUUGAGUACUGCCCUUGGGGGGAGGCAGUAUUUCUGGGUUUUCAGCACUACAUUUUGGCCCUUGGAACUGCAGUGAUGAUCCCUUCUUUCCUUGUUCCUUACAUGGGUGGUACUGAUGGUGAUAAAGUGAGAGUAGUACAGACUCUACUGUUUGUUGAAGGAAUUAACACACUUCUUGAAACUCUCUUUGGAACCAGACUGCCUACUGUUAUUGGAGGGUCUUAUGCAUUCAUGGUCCCUAUUAUAUCUAUCAUUCGUGAUUCAUCAUUGGCUAGUAUUGAGGACCCUCAUAUCAGAUUUCUCAACACCAUGAGAGCAGUCCAAGGUGCUUUGAUAGUAGCAUCAAGCAUACAGAUUAUCCUAGAAUUUCCUGGCGGUGUGUUUUGCUUUAAUGGGCAUUGGCAGCUCAUUUCAUGCUCAAGAAACUGCUGUGAGUGGGUAAUUGGAGAGUCGAGUGUGGUUCUGGCCUUCGGGUACUGUGUGACUUCAGGCCAUCAACUACAGAGGUUAACAUAACAAUAAAGCUUUUACUUGUGUUGCUUUUCUCGACAGUGGAGUUUUGUUGUCUCAAUUCAUGUUUUGGUGGCAUGAUAGACAUGGAAUCUGUCGAGGACGUGGCUAAUAUUUCUAAUGUGUCUGGGAUUACUACCCAUUCUUUGCAACUGUACAGUCAUUGCUAACCACUGGACCGUCUCCCUGCAAUUGUACAGUCAUUGCAACUGUUGUUUAUUUCUUAGUGUUGAAAGUAGUAACUUUUAACUAUGUUGAAUAUUUAAGACUCCUUGAAUACUUAAAGAACAUUUUUUUGUUGAUGA